CCCCUCAAAUCUGCUAGAAGCUCAAUAUUCGCUUUCUCUUCGAGUUCAAGGCCCCGAAUCCACUGUGCCCUUGGAGGUGAUUUCUCUCCCUUUGAAUACCGUCAGUUAUUCUUAUUAUUACCCAUUUGGUGAUUCUUAAUAUCUCUUUUGGUUUCUAGAGACUUUUUUGGCUUAAAGUUUUAGUUUUAGUUUUUGGUAAUACUGGAGUGUGCUGCUCGUGUAAAAAUGAUUUUGUCGUUUGUCAUACUUUCUCGUGCAUUACGUCUCUCCCUUUCCCCCCACUCGGCUUGUGAUAAUCUGAAGGUAUGGUGAUGCUGUAAUGAUGGUGGACUAUAAUUGUUGAUGUAAUUUUAGAUUAAUAUGAAGGUAUGUUAAUAUUAAUUGUUUAUAUUAAUUGG